rnacentral:rRNA from 1 species
UUAGGAAUCUUGCGCAAUGGGGGAAACCCUGACGCAGCCAUGCCGCGUGAAUGAUGAAGGUCUUAGGAUUGUAAAAUUCUUUCAGCGGGGACGAUAAUGACGGUACCCGCAGAAGAAGCCCCGGCUAACUUCGUGCCAGCAGCCGCGGUAAUACGAAGGGGGCUAGCGUUGCUCGGAAUUACUGGGCGUAAAGGGCGCGUAGGCGGAUGUCUUAGUCAGCGGUGAAAGCCCAGGGCUCAACCUUGGAACUGCCAUUGAUACUGGACAUCUUGAGUACGGGAGAGGUGAGUGGAACUCCGAGUGUAGAGGUGAAAUUCGUAGAUAUUCGGAAGAACACCAGUGGCGAAGGCGACUCACUGGCCCGUUACUGACGCUGAGGCGCGAAAGCGUGGGGAGCAAACAGG